GGCUCGAUAUUCUAUUUUUUUCUCACUUUCCUUUCCACUGUGAAUUUAAUCUCGAUCGGGCAGUCGAAAAGACUGGUCGAGGCUAGGAAUGAGUGAUGACGGGGAAGAUCGAUAUUUGUUAUGUACACACUCUCCACCUUAAAAAGUGGAGUGUGGGACAGAACAAUUGUUUUUUCUUCCCUCGAUUCCUCGAUCCUAGACCGAAUUACCAAACAUUUUUUCAGAGACAAUCGAAAAAGUAUGAAUGUGAUAUUUAUUAAACAAUUUAAAACUUUCAGUGACGGAUCUCUUGGCUCUCGCAUCGAUGAAGAACGCAGUAAAUCGCGAUACGUAAUGUGAAUUGCAGAAAUAGUGAAUCAUCGAAUCUUUGAACGCAUCUUGCGCUCUGUGGUAUUCCUCAGAGCAUGCCUGUUUGAGUGUCGUGUAACUCUCAUCUCAUAUUUUUUUGUUUUACUACAAAGAGUAUAGAUGGAUCCUGGCCGCUUGUGACGAGUGAUCGUCUCGGCUGAAAUAUAGGAAAGCGACGUUAAAAACUUUUUUCCAGAGUUAAAGCGAUUGAUCGUCGGCGUGAUAAGAAAAUUACGCAGAUGUACAUCUUUUGCCUGUAGGUCUCUGGUGUUCGCUCAGAAUUACAC
rnacentral:rRNA from 1 species